rnacentral:rRNA from 1 species
CCUACGUGAGGCAGCAGUGAGGAAUAUUGGUCAAUGGUCGCGAGCCUGAACCAGCCAAGUAGCGUGAAGGAUGACUGCCCUAUGGGUUGUAAACUUCUUUUAUACAGGAAUAAAGUGAGGCACGUGUGCCUUUUUGUAUGUACUUUAUGAAUAAGGAUCGGCUAAUUCCGUGCCAGCAGCCGCGGUAAUACGGAGGAUCCGAGCGUUAUCCGGAUUUAUUGGGUUUAAAGGGAGCGUAGGCCGGCAGGUAAGUCAGCGGGGAAAUGCCCCCGCUCAACGGGGUGAAGUGCGACGGAUACUGGCUUGCUGGAAUGCGCAGACCGUGGGAGGAAUGUGUGGUGUAGCGGUGAAAUGCUUAGAUAGCACACAGAACACCGAUUGCGAAGGCAGCUCACG